UACGGGGGGGGCAAGCGUUGUUCGGAAUUACUGGGCGUAAAGCGCGUUCAGGCGGUUUGGCAAGUCGGGCAUGAAAUCUCUCGGCUCAACCGGGAGAGGUUGUCCGAUACUUCCAGACUUGAGGGCAGUAGAGGGUGGUGGAAUUCCGGGUGUAGUGGUGAAAUGCGUAGAUAUCCGGAGGAACACCAGUGGCGAAAGCGGCCACCUGGACUGCACCUGACGCUGACACGCGAAAGCUAGGGGAGCGAACGGG
rnacentral:rRNA from 1 species